AUUCAGCUGACGUAUCCCAAAUAGAACGAAACGCGUUUUGGAU
rnacentral:hammerhead_ribozyme from 1 species